rnacentral:rRNA from 1 species
UACGUAGGGCGCAAGCGUUGUCCGGAAUUAUUGGGCGUAAAGAGCUCGUAGGCGGCUUGUCACGUCGGGUGUGAAAGCCCGGGGCUUAACCCCGGGCCUGCAUUCGAUACGGGCAGGCUAGAGUGUGGUAGGGGAGAUCGGAAUUCCUGGUGUAGCGGUGAAAUGCGCAGAUAUCAGGAGGAACACCGGUGGCGAAGGCGGAUCUCUGGGCCAUUACUGACGCUGAGGAGCGAAAGCGUGGGGAGCGAACAGG